CGGAGCCGUUUCUCAUUGGUACUGCGGCGGAGUAAGGACUGCUGCCAGGCAGAGUGAAGCACAUAUUGGGUAGUUAUUUACCAAUGCAGAGUUAGCUAUGGACAGAUGAUGGCGAUACUACAAGUAUUAGAUCUAGGUAUGGAGAAGGUGGAUUUGAAAUUCUCAUUAAUACUGACCAAGAAGAGAACUGGGUACUGAUUGGUCAAAAAGAUGAUCCCAGCAAAGGACUCAUGGGGAGGGCCCUGACAAAGAUCAG